UGGGGAAUAUUGGACAAUGGGCGCAAGCCUGAUCCAGCCAUGCCGCGUGAGUGAUGAAGGCCCUAGGGUUGUAAAGCUCUUUCACCGGUGAAGAUAAUGACGGUAACCGGAGAAGAAGCCCCGGCUAACUUCGUGCCAGCAGCCGCGGUAAUACGAAGGGGGCUAGCGUUGUUCGGAUUUACUGGGCGUAAAGCGCACGUAGGCGGACUAUUAAGUCAGGGGUGAAAUCCCGGGGCUCAACCCCGGAACUGCCUUUGAUACUGGUAGUCUUGAGGUCGAGAGAGGUGAGUGGAAUUCCGGGUGUAGAGGUGAAAUUCGUAGAUAUUCGGAGGAACACCAGUGGCGAAGGCGGCUCACUGGCUCGAUACUGACGCUGGGGUGCGAAAGCGUGGGGAGCAAACAGG
rnacentral:rRNA from 1 species